GUUUGACCUCAAAUCAGGUAGGAUUACCCGCUGAACUUAAGCAUAUCAAUAAGCGGAGGAAAAGAAACCAACAGGGAUUGCCUUAGUAGCGGCGAGUGAAGCGGCAAGAGCUCAAAUUUGAAAUCUGGUACUUUCAGUAUCCGAGUUGUAAUUUGAAGAAAGUUAUCUUGGAGUUGGCCCUUGUCUAUGUUCCUUGGACAGACGUCACAGAGGGUGAGAAUCCCGUGCGAUGGGGUGCCCAUUCUAUGUAAGAUACUUUCGACGAGUCGAGUGUGUG
rnacentral:rRNA from 1 species